rnacentral:rRNA from 1 species
CCUACGGGAGGCUGCAGUGAGGAAUAUUGGUCAAUGGACGAGAGUCUGAACCAGCCAAGUAGCGUGAAGGAUGACUGCCCUAUGGGUUGUAAACUUCUUUUAUAUGGGAAUAAAAUGUUCCACGUGUGGGAUUUUGUAUGUACCAUAUGAAUAAGGAUCGGCUAACUCCGUGCCAGCAGCCGCGGUAAUACGGAGGAUCCGAGCGUUAUCCGGAUUUAUUGGGUUUAAAGGGAGCGUAGGUGGAUUGUUAAGUCAGUUGUGAAAGUUUGUGGCUCAACCGUAAAAUUGCAGUUGAAACUGGCAGUCUUGAGUACAGUAGAGGUGGGCGGAAGUCGUGGUGUAGCGGUGAAAUGCUUAGAUAUCACGAAGAAUUCCGAUUGCGAAGGCAGUUCACUGGACUGCAACUGACACUGAGGCUCGAAAGUGUGGGUAUCAAACAGGAUUAGAUACCCUUGUAGUC